GGAUGGGUGGCCGAGUGGACUAAGGCGGCAGUCUUGAAAACUGCUGUACGGGCAACCGUACCGGGGGUUCGAAUCCCUCCCCAUCCG
rnacentral:tRNA from 1 species